AAGCUUAGUUGAGUUGAGUUGAAUGCUCUCAUAUCCACAAAUUUCCUUUUCAAAUAUGCCAACUCAUCAUAUUCCAUCAAAGCAAACAACUUUACAUCAUCCCUUCAAACUCAUUGAAUUUCUAGUUCUUGUUUUAAGGCCUAACAUCAUUCAAACAACCUGACAUUGUUCCCUCCAUCAUCCUUGUCUUCUUCACCGCCAGUGGGUCCAUCAAAGGAAUCAAACGAUGGAAGAUGCCCAAUCAAGAUCUGUUCCAGGGUAAGGAUGGAGUAAGGGAUGUCCAAUCAAGAGUAAAUGUGGUGUUUAAAGGUGGAGAGAGUGGUAGUGUUGGGGUUCAGGCAAAGAGACUAGGUUUUUGGAUUGUGCAAACUCUCCUUUGUUGAUUUGUUUUUGCUAGAAUCCUAUAAUUGUGAUUCAAAUUUUGCAUAUGGAAAGUUGAUUUUGUUGCAUAUUUUGUAAUUUGCUUGUUCAUAUUGGAAUUUUGUAAUUGAAAUUGAAAGCAUUUAGAUGGAAAUUUGUUUUUAUUACAUUUUUUGUAAUUUAUUGAUUUGUUCUUGUUGGAAUUCUUUUGUAGAACAAGAGGGUUUGGAUCUGUAGAGCAGAAGAAGAAGAAGAGUGAGAGAGGUUUUAGAGCCUUUCAAACUCUUUGAUUUCCCCAAUUUAUUCUCUCUCUUUUUCACCGCCGCCAUGAACGGAGCCACCGGCACGCAAGUCAACACCGCGAACGGCGGUGGUGGUGAGCCAGUCGGAGUUCAGAUCCAGCAGAGUAGGAGGUUGCCGGAUUUCCUUCAGAGUGUAAACUUAAAGUACGUUAAACUAGGUUACCAUUACUUGAUCUCUCAUUUGUUGACUCUAUGUUUGAUUCCUGUAAUGGCUGUGAUUUUAAUUGAAGCUUCACAAAUGAAUCCUGAUGAUAUUCGUCAAUUAUGGCUACAUUUGCAGUAUAAUCUAGUCUCUGUUAUUAUUUGUUCCGCCGUUUUGGUUUUUGGAUCCACAGUUUACAUCAUGACUCGGCCGAGGCCGGUUUAUUUGAUUGAUUACUCUUGUUAUAAAGCUCCUGAGCAUCUCAAGGCUCCCUAUGAACGGUUCAUGCAGCAUUCACGGCUCACAGGUGAUUUUGAUGAGUCGUCGCUUGAGUUUCAGAGGAAGAUUCUGGAGCGUUCUGGCCUCGGGGACGAAACUUAUGUUCCUGAGGCUAUGCAUCAGCUUCCUCCGCAGCCUUCUAUGCAGGCUGCGAGGGAAGAAGCUGAGCAAGUUAUGUUUGGUGCCUUGGAUAAAUUGUUUGCUAAUACCUCUGUGAAACCUAAGAAAAUAGGUGUGCUUGUUGUGAAUUGUAGUUUGUUCAAUCCGACUCCAUCGCUUUCAGCUAUGAUUGUGAACAAGUAUAAGUUGAGAGGUAAUAUAAGGAGUUUUAAUCUGGGAGGUAUGGGUUGUAGUGCUGGUGUAAUUGCCGUUGAUCUUGCUAAGGACAUGUUGCAAGUGCACAGAAAUACCUAUGCUGUUGUUGUUAGUACUGAGAAUAUUACGCAGAACUGGUAUUUUGGGAAUAAGAAGUCCAUGUUGAUACCAAAUUGUUUGUUU
rnacentral:misc_RNA from 1 species